AAACCAUGAUAAGGGCACCUGUUUUGCAAUUCCUUAAACAUUUCCUAAGCUUCAUAAAGUGACUCAUAAUCCUUUUGGUAACAACUAGCAAUUUUUUAUUUGAUUUC
rfam:Ricinus communis cultivar Hale ctg_1100012305687, whole genome shotgun sequence.